AACGAACGCUGGCGGCAGGCUUAACACAUGCAAGUCGGACGAGAUCUUCGGAUCUAGUGGCAGACGGGUGAGGAACACGUGGGAACAUCCCUUUCAGUUCGGAAUAACGUUGGGAAACUAACGCUAAUACCGGAUACGUCCUUCGGGAGAAAGAUUUAUCGCUGAAAGAUUGGCCCGCGUCUGAUUAGCUAGUUGGUGAGGUAACGGCUCACCAAGGCUACGAUCAGUAGCUGAUCUGAGAGGAUGAUCAGCCACAUUGGGACUGAGACACGGCCCAAACUCCUACGAGAGGCAGCAGUGGGGAAUAUUGGACAAUGGGCGCAAGCCUGAUCCAGCCAUGCCGCGUGAGUGAUGACGGCCUUCGGGUUGUAAAGCUCUUUUGUCCGGGAAGAUAAUGACUGUACCGGAAGAAUAAGCCCCGGCAAACUUCGUGCCAGCAGCCGCGGUAA
rnacentral:rRNA from 1 species